GCGAGAAAACUUUACAAUGCUGGCAACAGCGAUAAGGGAACCUCGAGUGCCAGGUUACAAAUCUGGCUGUCGAGAUGCCUAAAAAGCAUUUCGUAGCAAGGGCCGGGCAAGACCGGUGCCAGCCGCCGCGGUAACACCGGCGGCUCGAGUGGUAACCGUUAUUAUUGGGUCUAAAGGGUCUGUAGCCGGCCGGAUAAGUCUCUUGAGAAAUCUGGCAGCUUAACGGUCAGGCUUUCAGGAGAGACUGUCUGGCUCGAGGCCGGGAGAGGUGAGAGGUACUUCAGGGGUAGGGGUGAAAUCUUGUAAUCCUUGAAGGACCACCAGUGGCGAAGGCGUCUCACCAGAACGGACCUGACGGCAAGGGGCGAAAGCUAGGGGCACGAACU
rnacentral:rRNA from 1 species